GCUAGGGUGGCAGAGCGGUCAAAUGCGCCUCGCUGUAGACGAGGUGCCCUUGUGGCUACGGGGGUUCGAAUCCCUCCCCUAGCA
rfam:Candidate division WWE3 bacterium CSP1-7 XT08_C0005, whole genome shotgun sequence.